rnacentral:rRNA from 1 species
CAGUAGCCGCGGUAAUACAGAGGGUGCGAGCGUUAAUCGGAUUUACUGGGCGUAAAGCGUGCGUAGGCGGCUUUUUAAGUCGGAUGUGAAAUCCCUGAGCUUAACUUAGGAAUUGCAUUCGAUACUGGGAAGCUAGAGUAUGGGAGAGGAUGGUAGAAUUCCAGGUGUAGCGGUGAAAUGCGUAGAGAUCUGGAGGAAUACCGAUGGCGAAGGCAGCCAUCUGGCCUAAUACUGACGCUGAGGUACGAAAGCAUGGGGAGCAAACAGGAUUAGAUACCCGAGUAGUCCCUGUCUCUUAUAC